rnacentral:rRNA from 1 species
UACGUAGGGGGCAAGCGUUGUCCGGAUUUACUGGGCGUAAAGAGCGUGUAGGCGGCCAAACAGGUCCGUUGUGAAAACUGGAGGCUCAACCUCCAGACGUCGACGGAAACCGUGUGGCUAGAGUCCGGAAGAGGUUAGUGGAAUUCCCAGUGUAGAGGUGAAAUUCGUAGAUAUUGGGAAGAACACCAGUGGCGAAGGCGGCUAACUGGUCCGGUACUGACGCUGAGGUGCGAAAGCGUGGGGAGCAAACAGG